rnacentral:rRNA from 1 species
GAUGAACGCUGGCGGCGUGCCUAAUACAUGCAAGUCGAGCGAACGGACGAGAAGCUUGCUUUUCUGAUGUUAGCGGCGGACGGGUGAGUAACACGUGGAUAACCUACCUAUAAGACUGGGAUAACUUCGGGAAACCGGAGCUAAUACCGGAUAAUAUUUUGAACCGCAUGGUUCAAAAGUGAAAGACGGUCUUGCUGUCACUUAUAGAUGGAUCCGCGCUGCAUUAGCUAGUUGGUAAGGUAACGGCUUACCAAGGCAACGAUGCAUAGCCGACCUGAGAGGGUGAUCGGCCACACUGGAACUGAGACAAGGUCCAGACUCCUACGGGAGGCAGCAGUAGGGAAUCUUCCGCAAUGAGCGAAAGCCUGACGGAGCAACGCCGCGUGAGUGAUGAAGGUCUUCGGAUCGUAAAACUCUGUUAUUAGGGAAGAACAUAUGUGUAAGUAACUGUGCACAUCUUGACGGUACCUAAUCAGAAAGCCACGGCUAACUACGUG